CACUUCUAAGGAAGGCAGCAGGCGCGCAAAUUACCCAAUCCUGACUCAGGGAGGUAGUGACAAGAAAUAACAAUAAACCGGCUUAUGCCGGUUUAAUUGGAAUGAGUACAAUUUAAACAUCUUAACGAGGAACAAUUGGAGGGCAAGUCUGGUGCCAGCAGCCGCGGUAAUUCCAGCUCCAAUAGCGUAUACUAAAGUUGUUGCAGUUAAAAAGCUCGUAGUUGGAUUUCUGUGGGGACGGAGCGGCCGGCCGCAACACGCGGUUCGAGCUAGCGCUUUCCCUACAUCCUGCCGCGAACCGUGCUACCAUUAGUUUGAUGGCGCCGGGGAUCGGCUCGAUUACUUUGAGAAAAAUAGAGUGUUCAAAGCAGGCCACACGCCUUGAAUAAGUUAGCAUGGAAUAAUAACUAAGGACUUCGGUUCUAUUUUGUUGGUGUUCGGGACUGAAGUAAUGAUUGAUAGGGACAGUUGGGGCGGUCUGUAUUCCAAAGCGAGAGGUGAAAUUCUUAGACCUUCGGAAGACAAACAGCUGCGAAAGCGCUCCGCAAGGAUGUUCCCUUUGAUCAAGAACGAAAGUUGGGGGAUCGAAGACGAUCAGAUACCGUCGUAGUCUCAACUAUAAACUAUACCAGCUAGGGAUCGGCCAACGUUAUUCUAUACCGACUUGGUCGGCACCUUAUGAGAAAUCAAAGCAUCUGGGUUCCGGGGGGAGUAUGGACGCAAGGCUGUAACUUAAAGGAAUUGACGGAAGGGCACCACCAGCCGUGGAGCCUGUGGCUUAAUUUGACUCAACACGGGAAAACUUACCAGGUCCAGACAUAGUAAGGAUUGACAGAUUGAUAGCUCUUUCUUGAUUCUGUGGGUGGUGGUGCAUGGCCGUUCUUAGUUGGUGGAGUGAUUUGUCUGGUUAAUUCCGUUAACGAACGAGACCCCAGCCUGCUAAAUAGCGCGCGUGAGCUUUGCUCGCGGCGAGCUUCUUAGAGGGACUAUGAUGCGCGAUAGCACAUGGAAGUUUGGGGCAAUAACAGGUCUGUGAUGCCCUUAGAUGUUCUGGGCCGCACACGGGCUACACUGGCGCCUGCAACGAGCAUAUCAGCUGGCCCGAGAGGGUCUUGGCUAAUCUUUUGAACCGGCGCCGUGCUUGGGAUUGACCUUUGCAAUUGUUGGUCAUGCAACGAGGAAUGCCUUGUAAACGCGAGUCAUCAGCUCGCAUUGAAUACGUCCCUGCCCUUUGUACACACCGCCCGUCGCUCCUACCGAUGAAUGUUCCGAUGAAAUUUUCGGAGAGUGCCUGUGAACUUGGCUCUGCCUUGCGAACGGGAAGCUCAAAGUCACUUAAAUCUGAACAU
rnacentral:rRNA from 1 species